rnacentral:rRNA from 1 species
CUGCUGCCUUCCGUAGGAGUUUGGACCGUGUCUCAGUUCCAAUGUGGGGGACCUUCCUCUCAGAACCCCUACUGAUCGUCGCCCCGGUGGGCCGUUACCCCGCCGGCAAGCUAAUCAGACGCAUCCCCAUCCUUUACCGGCCGAAGCCUUUGGUCAUGAAAACAUGCAUCAACAUGACAACAUACGGUAUUAAUCCGCCUUUCGACGGGCUGUCCCAUAGUAAAGGGCAGGUUGGAUACGCGUUACUCACCCGUGCGCCGGUCGCCAU